ACGAACGCUGGCGGCACGCUUAACACAUGCAAGUCGAACGAGAGAAGAGAAGCUUGCUUUUCUGAUCUAGUGGCGGACGGGUGAGUAACACGUGAGCAAUCUGCCUUUCAGAGGGGGAUACCGAUUGGAAACGAUCGUUAAUACCGCAUAACAUAAUUGAACCGCAUGAUUUGAUUAUCAAAGAUUUAUCGCUGAAAGAUGAGCUCGCGUCUGAUUAGCUAGUUGGUAAGGUAACGGCUUACCAAGGCGACGAUCAGUAGCCGGACUGAGAGGUUGAUCGGCCACAUUGGGACUGAGACACGGCCCAGACUCCUACGGGAGGCAGCAGUGGGGAAUAUUGCACAAUGGAGGAAACUCUGAUGCAGCGAUGCCGCGUGAGGGAAGAAGGUUUUAGGAUUGUAAACCUCUGUCUUCAGGGACGAAAAAAGACGGUACCUGAGGAGGAAGCUCCGGCUAACUACGUGCCAGCAGCCGCGGUAAUACGUAGGGAGCGAGCGUUGUCCGGAAUUACUGGGUGUAAAGGGAGCGUAGGCGGGAUCGCAAGUCAGAUGUGAAAACUAUGGGCUUAACCCAUAAACUGCAUUUGAAACUGUGGUUCUUGAGUGAAGUAGAGGUAAGCGGAAUUCCUAGUGUAGCGGUGAAAUGCGUAGAUAUUAGGAGGAACAUCAGUGGCGAAGGCGGCUUACUGGGCUUUAACUGACGCUGAGGCUCGAAAGCGUGGGGAGCAAACAGGAUUAGAUACCCUGGGAGUCCACGCCGUAAAAGAUGAUUACUAGGUGUGGGGGGACUGACCCCUUCCGUGCCGCAGCAAACGCAAUAAGUAAUCCACCUGGGGAGUACGACCGCAAGGUUGAAACUCAAAGGAAUUGACGGGGGCCCGCACAAGCAGUGGAGUAUGUGGAUUAAUUCGAAGCAACGCGAAGAACCUUACCAGGUCUUGACAUCGUAUGCAUAGCUCAGAGAUGAGUGAAAUCUCUUCGGAGACAUAUAGACAGGUGGUGCAUGGUUGUCGUCAGCUCGUGUCGUGAGAUGUUGGGUUAAGUCCCGCAACGAGCGCAACCCUUACUGUUAGUUGCUACGCAAGAGCACUCUAGCAGGACUGCCGUUGACAAAACGGAGGAAGGUGGGGAUGACGUCAAAUCAUCAUGCCCCUUAUGACCUGGGCCUCACACGUACUACAAUGGCUGUCAACAGAGGGAAGCAAAGCCGCGAGGUGGAGCAAACCCCUAAAAGCAGUCUUAGUUCGGAUUGUAGGCUGCAACCCGCCUACAUGAAGUCGGAAUUGCUAGUAAUCGCAGAUCAGCAUGCUGCGGUGAAUACGUUCCCGGGCCUUGUACACACCGCCCGUCACGCCAUGGGAGUCGGUAACACCCGAAGCCUGUAGUCUAACCGCAAGGAGGACGCAGUCGAAGGUGGGAUUGAUGACUGGGGUG
rnacentral:rRNA from 1 species